AAGAUACUCUUCCUAACAUGAAGUAAAAGAAAGAAAUAAUUCAAGUUAAUAAGUAAAGUUACUACCGAUAAAAUCAUAGCAUUAUUAUUUAGUCUAAUUGAAAUGUACAUUGAUGUGCUGUUUAAUGCCUUUAAAUUAGUCAUCAUGUUGAUAAUAAUUAUCUAAAGAAACUUUUCACGUGAAAAUAUAAAAUUUUAAUUGAUUAGAUAUUGUGUUAGCCAUACUUAAGAAAGAAAAUGAAAAUGAAUGAAAUGAAAGAAAAGGACUACCUUCAACCUCAUUUUUUAAAUAAACACUUUGUCAGUUUUGCGGUAAAUAAGUUCUUAGGAAUUCAGGACAGUUUUUAGUGAAUCAUUUUGUUUCGACCGUUCGCGGAGAGACGCGAUCGCGAGAUAGCACGUCAACGAGAGUUGUAAUUUCCCGUUACGAUUAAAUAAUCGACGCCACGAACUGAUCGAUCCCCUUAUUUCGAUUAUGAUAAUAAGGGUAGUUCAAUGAAAUUCCACAGAAUUAACACAAAUAAAUUCAUGUUUGUUUGAACAAUUUAUUAACUAGAAAGAUAUAAAUGGAACAAAAAAAAUGUAACUGCGUUUUGGUUGAUAAGUAAUGCGCGACAUACCACCUGUGUUGACGGUUCGACUUCUCGAAAAGUUCUGAACGCCUUUCGAUUUUUUUCGUUUUUUC